rnacentral:lncRNA from 1 species
ACCAGAGACAGUCCACGUGAUCAUAACAUACUGCUAUAUAAACUGAGCAGGCCGUACCAAUGAGUUAAUUUUCAGUUUCUUGGCUGGCUAUAUAGCCGUUUCCGGAGUAUUUACAACUGCUCCGUGCGUUUCAGGAUCAAAGCUGAUCUACCACGAUUUAGACCACUUUGUUUGUGUUUAAUGAUCUGCCUGAAAAGCGAUUCCUGUAGUAGUUGGAUUAAUCACUAAAGGACUUUCAACCAUAUAACCAGAUGCAGAUCUUGUCCGCUCACGUUGAUGGAACGAUGCGAUCCUCCGGCAAAAUAGAAGGGGGUGACAGUCCAGAUCCAAACAGUAACCACAACAAUCAACCUGGUAUUAGUCAUCCGCCAUCAUAACUGAUUGUGAUCACAUUUUUCCCGAGUUGACGACUGUGUCGGGUUGCUGCUUGGGUUUCAGUCGUGGAACUGAUUUUUCAACGAUGGUUAAAUCUUCAGUGCAAGUGAAAUAUAUCGGUAUUCUGAACAUGAUUUAGCUUAUUUGAAAGCACUCCAGGGAGACUUUGAACGUCAAGAGACCGAUCAGCCAAAAAGAAAAUUGAUAUUUUGACAGAAAUUUACAUCAACAUCAUUUUGAAACAACGAUUCGUACAAACGUUUGAAAUCUAGAACAUUGUAUGUGGCAACGGUUAAGAAGUCUUCCAAAAAUACAUAAGAAAUCCUGGAGUUCCUGUUAUAAUUUUUUUAUAGCAAUCCUAAAACUUGCUAAUUAUUUACAACGCGUUCCAUCACAUUUAUGCAUUUGUACUCUCGUUUCCUUUUUCACUUAUAUGCAGUUUAUGAUUGACAUAAUUUUUGAAUUUCGAAUUGGAAAUAGAAAUGUGAUGAUACCCGCUUGACCACGUGUGCCGGGUACUUGAUUCAGUUUCUACUAAAAUACAUCCUAAAUACGCAUCUGUUCCGGCCAGUAAGGGGAAUUAUGUAGGUAACAAUUUGAUUCAUUACUGUUGUAAAUUAAACUUUAAAACGCUAAUUAUUUUUCAAAAUAUCCGACUUUCUUUCUAGUUUGUCUUAAUGGAUACACAGGAUAAUUAUCUCCAAAACUGUUAUAAAAACAUAGGUCAGCGUAUCCGUAUAUUUGAAGCCAAAAAGAAUCAAAAACAUUUUGCUGUUAAAAAAAAGAAAUUGAUAUUGAAAUUUGCAGUUUCUUCACAUGUACAUUUGGUGUACGUUGAAAUUUAAUUUCAUAUUUUUGAAUUUUCCAAAGUAGAUGUUCUCCAACCAUUAAAAUUGACGAUAAAAACUUUUAUUAAGAUUUUUUUCAGUGACAGAAAUGUGUAACAAGAAAGAAUUUAAUUUCCUAUAUGAACUAAUUGUAUAAUUUGUAGCCUUCAUCUCAGCUUUGAUAUAUGAAAUAAAGAUGAGAGUUAAAACCUAAUGAGCUAAUAUCCUUUAACUACAUUUUGAAUACAUAUCCUCGUUAAAAGUUUUAAAAUUAAUUUGUUGUUGAUUUCUUUAUUCCUUGUUUUUAAUAUAAAAUUUCAAGUGCCUGAUUAAAACGUAUUUUCCUUAUUUUAAAAACUUGCAGGAUAUAUUGAAACUCAUUUACGCUUUAAAGCAUCGAAUUGUUACAAUCCGAUGUCGAUAGAUGAUGUUGGGACUCUAUAACAAUGGUUUAUCAAGGUAGCGUGACAUAUGACUAUAUAAUAUAUAUUAUAUUUGAAGAUAAAAUAAAAUCUGUUUUCAUAUGUGAAGA